AGGGUCCAGCUGCAGGCUUGGGCGUUCCCGUCAUGACACAAAAACGCCCAUCGGGCGUUCCCGUCAUGACACAAAAACGCCCAUCAGGCGUUCCUGUAGCGUUUCAUCGAUCACUCAAGAAGAGUACCCUGGCACAUGCUUUGUCCAAUGGACCAUGGAAGGGACUUUACUUGGCUGACGAGGACGCACCUCACCAGUAUCAGAGCAACAGCUGUGGGGUGUUUAUGCUGAUGUACGCAAUGUAUUCUACCCUCAAAAGCAAUAUGAUUUCAGUGAGGGGGACAUGCUCUCUAUCAGGAGGUGGUGGUUUGACAGCUGUUGGAGACCUUUAUGCUUGAAAGGCUAGCCCUGCAGAACUAGCUGGCUCCUUCUCACCCUCUCCAUCUCCCCAUCUCAGUCACACCUUCCAAUCACUAAGCAGUGAAA